rnacentral:rRNA from 1 species
UACGUAGGGGGCUAGCGUUGUCCGGAAUCAUUGGGCGUAAAGAGCGUGUAGGCGGUCCGGUAAGUCCGCUGUGAAAGUCGGGGGCUCAACCCUCGAAUGCCGGUGGAUACUGUCGGGCUAGAGUGCGGAAGAGGCGAGUGGAAUUCCUGGUGUAGCGGUGAAAUGCGCAGAUAUCAGGAGGAACACCGGUGGCGAAGGCGG